rnacentral:rRNA from 1 species
UCCGUAGGGGAACCUUGCGGAGGGAUCAUUA